rnacentral:rRNA from 1 species
UGGGGAAUAUUGCACAAUGGGCGCAAGCCUGAUGCAGCCAUGCCGCGUGUGUGAAGAAGGCCUUCGGGUUGUAAAGCACUUUCAGCGAGGAGGAAGGUGGUGAACUUAAUACGUUCAUCAAUUGACGUUACUCGCAGAAGAAGCACCGGCUAACUCCGUGCCAGCAGCCGCGGUAAUACGGAGGGUGCAAGCGUUAAUCGGAAUUACUGGGCGUAAAGCGCACGCAGGCGGUUUGUUAAGUCAGAUGUGAAAUCCCCGGGCUCAACCUGGGAACUGCAUUUGAAACUGGCAAGCUAGAGUCUCGUAGAGGGGGGUAGAAUUCCAGGUGUAGCGGUGAAAUGCGUAGAGAUCUGGAGGAAUACCGGUGGCGAAGGCGGCCCCCUGGACGAAGACUGACGCUCAGGUGCGAAAGCGUGGGGCAGCAAACAGGAUUAGAUACCCUGGUAGUCCAGCGCUGUAAACCGAUGUCGAUUUGGAGGUUGUGCCCUUGAGGCGUGGCUUCCGGAGCUAACGCGUUAAAGUCGACCGCCU